ACACUAAGCAUCUUUUCUGCUCCUACCAUAAUCUCGGGUUCAGGGACAUCCCUUGGGGACCAAUGCUUUAAGUCAGCCCUCAUGGCAUGCUGUGGGAAGGCGCUCCGUCCAGGAGCUGACUAAUGCUGACAGUCUCUUCUGUUGUUGCUUUCUGGGCUGCCUGUGUUUUUCCUCUGGCUCUGCUGCGACUCUCAGGCCCUCUGGCCCGCCGGACACAGGGCAUUUGAGUUGGUGACUCUGGAUCUUACUGUGAUGUGCUAGUGACCUGGCUCUCUGAAGAAAAGUGUCCUGAUGUGCAGAGUUUGCCACAUUCCAUGUGGAGUGGUGAUUCAGAGACCAUCUCUUGCAGUUUCAUCACAUUUGUUGGAGAUGUGAAAGCCAUGGAAGGACAGACGCCAACCUGUUGAACUGUUACACAUGAACUCGCAGAAACUGCGGAGUAUCUAUUAUCUGAAGAAGAGAGAACGGAGCUUGUACAAUCUUGAGCACACACUGAUUCAGAGAUUCUUUUGCAGUAACUCCACAGGCUUAAUAGAAUCCAGGAUCUGGGAACCAUUGCUGAGGAAGUCAUAGACAUUUCUCAAUUAAUGAAUGAAAGCUGCUCCCUUGGAAGAGGAGGAGAAUGCUAACCACAGUUGAGGAAUCUGAAGAAAGGAAAGGCCAACAGAAGCAAAUCAAUGAUAAAAUCAGAGGAAAUUAUCAGACGCUGAUGGGGUUCUAUACUCUUCCUACCAUGGAAUCACAGUUCAAGAACAUUCAUCUCAUUCUCAGAAUGAAGAGAUGAAGAGUAUCAGAAUCCAGACAAGAAAGGUAUGUUUUCUGAGGGGGCUAAGAAGCUGUCACUGAUAUCCAAAAUUGGGCAUGACAGAAAGCAGAAAACACUGAGUCUUUGAAAGGAAUGGAUCAGCUUCUUCUCACUCACAUAAUGCUCCAGGAUGAGAUGAUGCUGACCAUGGACCAGGUGUGGAGCAAGGCUUUUGCCUCAAGAGUGGGAAAUAAAGAAGAGAGAAAGUAGUAGUCUACAAAUGAUGUGAAGUCAGAAAGUCCCAAAGAAUGGGCAGGAAAUCAAGAACCACUUGUUUCUUCCUGUAAGAAUGUGUUGCAUCUGGGAAUACAGUCAACUGUCCCCCAAAGAGGGUACAGAUUGAACAAACAGAGAAUUCCCAAAGGCUGAUGAAGGGAUUAACUCCUGUGUAAUAAUAUUGUUGUGUUCUUCUCCAAGGUCUUUCAUCUGUAGAUCUCAGCAGAGUUUGAAAAUAUCAAUUAAAUGUUACAACAUUCCUUUGAAGUGAGUAUUACUAGGUCCAUUUUCCAGACAAGAAAACUGAGAGUCUAAGGGGCUUGCCAGGGGCUACUCAACCAAGAUUCUAGGAGGCCAAGUGCUUCCGACUUCACCUGUGCAGAGCUCUGGGUCUCACAGAGAGAGAGAGAGAGCCUGAGACAGUCUGCCAAAGUUGUUCCCAGGCUCUGAGAAGGAAGACCCUAAAGAAGUAUUCCCCACAAUGCUUCACGAGCUCCGUAGGAACUUUUCCCUUGUCAAAGGGACUGGCUCCAAGAACCACAAGACUCCAUGAAUCAUUUCUCAGCCUUCUAGUGGAAUGUCAUUUCUCCUCUUCAAAGCUGUCAAAAACCAUUGUUGUUGCUUCUUUUAUGCUCUACCUUGGGUUAUAAUUAUUUAUGUUGGCAUCUGGUUUUUCUCUUAAGACUUCAGACAAGGAUCUUACAUUAUCCCUUAUGCUUGGUACAUAGUACAAGAUAAUAAGUAAAUAUUUUUUUUUACUUUAUUUGAAGUGUGGUUGGUAGGGGGCACCUAGGUGGCUCAGUGGUUAAGCAUCUGCUUUUAGCCCAGGAUAUGAU